rnacentral:rRNA from 1 species
CGGAUAAAAGGUACUCCGGGGAUAACAGGCUGAUACCGCCCAAGAGUUCACAUCGACGGCGGUGUUUGGCACCUCGAUGUCGGCUCAUCACAUCCUGGGGCUGAAGCAGGUCCCAAGGGUAUGGCUGUUCGCCAUUUAAAGUGGUACGCGAGCUGGGUUUAGAACGUCGUGAGACAGUUCGGUCCCUAUCUGCCGUGGGCGUUGGAAACUUGAGGGGAGCUGCUCCUAGUACGAGAGGACCGGAGUGGACGUACCUCUGGUGUUCCGGUUGUCACGCCAGUGGCAUUGCCGGGUAGCUAUGUACGGAAGGGAUAACCGCUGAAAGCAUCUAAGCGGGAAGCCCACCCCAAGAUUAGGUUUCCCGGAUCUUCGGAUCCCUGAAGGGCCCUUGAAGACUACAAGGUUGAUAGGCUGGGUGUGGAAGCGCGGCAACGCGUGAAGCUAACCAGUACUAAUUGCCCGUGCGGCUUAAACCG